CCUACGGGUGGCAGCAGUGGGGAAUAUUGGACAAUGGGGGGAACCCUAAUCCAGCCAUGCCGCGUGUGUGAAGAAGGCCCUCGGGUUGUAAAGCACUUUCAGUGAGGAAGAACGCCUGGUGGUUAAUACCCAUCAGGAAAGACAUCACUCACAGAAGAAGCACCGGCUAACUCCGUGCCAGCAGCCGCGGUAAUACGGAGGGUGCGAGCGUUAAUCGGAAUUACUGGGCGUAAAGCGCGCGUAGGUGGCUUGAUAAGCCGGUUGUGAAAGCCCCGGGCUCAACCUGGGAACGGCAUCCGGAACUGUCAAGCUAGAGUGCAGGAGAGGAAGGUAGAAUUCCCGGUGUAGCGGUGAAAUGCGUAGAGAUCGGGAGGAAUACCAGUGGCGAAGGCGGCCUUCUGGACUGACACUGACACUGAGGUGCGAAAGCGUGGGUAGCAAACAGGAUUAGAUACCCGGGUAGUC
rnacentral:rRNA from 1 species